rnacentral:rRNA from 1 species
UACGUAGGGGGCAAGCGUUAUCCGGAUUUACUGGGUGUAAAGGGAGCGUAGACGGUGUGGCAAGUCUGAAGUGAAAGCCCGGGGCUCAACCCCGGGACUGCUUUGGAAACUGUCAUGCUGGAGUGCUGGAGAGGUAAGCGGAAUUCCUAGUGUAGCGGUGAAAUGCGUAGAUAUUAGGAGGAACACCAGUGGCGAAGGCGGCUUACUGGACAGUAACUGACGUUGAGGCUCGAAAGCGUGGGGAGCAAACA